GUGCCACUUCGGCAGCACAUGUACUAAAACUGGAAUGAUACAGAGAAGAUUAGCAUAGUCCCUGCGCAAGGAUGACGAGCAAAUUUAUGAAGCAUUUCAUAUUUUA
ensembl:snRNA Gm23453 U6 spliceosomal RNA